rnacentral:rRNA from 1 species
CAGGAUUAGAUACCCUGGUAGUCCACGCCGUAAACGAUGUCAACUAGCCGUUGGGAGACUUGAUCUCUUAGUGGCGCAGCUAACGCGAUAAGUUGACCGCCUGGGGAGUACGGACGCAAGUUUAAAACUCAAAUGAAUUGACGGGGGCCCGCACAAGCGGUGGAGCAUGUGGUUUAAUUCGAUGCAACGCGAAGAACCUUACCAAUCCUUGACAUCCUCGGAAUUUACCAGAAAUGGUUUAGUGCCUUCGGGAACCGAGUGACAGGUGCUGCAUGGCUGUCGUCAGCUCGUGUUGUGAAAUGUUGGGUUAAGUCCCGUAACGAGCGCAACCCUUAUCCUUAUUUGCCAGCACGUAAAGGUGGGAACUCUAAGGAGACUGCCGGUGACAAACCGGAGGAAGGUGGGGACGACGUCAAGUCAUCAUGGCCCUUACGGAUUGGGCUACACACGUGCUACAAUGGGCAGUACAGAGGGUCGCGAGCCUGCGAGGGUAAGCCAAUCUCAGAAAGCUGUUCGUAGUCCGGAUCGGAGUCUGCAACUCGACUCCGUGAAGUUGGAAUCGCUAGUAAUCGCAGAUCAGAAUGCUGCGGUGAAUACGUUCCCGGGCCUUGUACACACCGCCCGUCACACCAUGGGAGUGGGUUGCACCAGAAGUAGCUAGACUAACCUUCAGGAGGUCGGUUACCACGGUGUGAUUCAUGACUGGGGUGAAGUCGUAACAAGGUA